AGCUGAGCCCCUCAGCCAAGAUGGUAGUUGGUGCUUGGGGAAAAUGUGUUUAAGAAAGGGCAGAAAACACGGCACAGGUGAGGAGUGAGAAAUGGCUCCACAGACACCCUGGUCAGAGUAGAAGGAGGGGAGGAGGCACUCCAGGUGCCGGAACAGACAGUCCUCUGCACCCCUGCCGAGAUCACGGUGCAGCAGGGAAUCCACAUGAAUUAUGAGCAUUAUGAAAGUCCAGAAAGAAGGAAGCUCAUGCCUUACUAUUCACUAGAGAAUCUGCAAGAGACACUGACCAACCAAUGGAUCCUCUGAUGCACACACAGUAAGAUGAUUCACACGAACCAAGGACCUUUCCAUGCUGUGGUUCUCAAAGGACACGGGUGCUACAAGAUCCAUUUAAAAUGUCUCUGCUGCUUGACUUGCCCCAGCAUCCACUUCCCUGUCUCUGUUUCUGCCACAACCACUCGCAAAAAAAUCAAGUGCUGUUUUUGAAGUAU